rnacentral:rRNA from 1 species
GGGUUGUGAGGUUAAGCGACUAAGCGUACACGGUGGAUGCCCUGGCAGUCAGAGGCGAUGAAGGACGUGCUAAUCUGCGAAAAGCGUCGGUAAGGUGAUAUGAACCGUUACAGCCGGCGAUGUCCGAAUGGGGAAACCCAGUGUGAUUCGUCACACUAUCGUUAACUGAAUACAUAGGUUAACGAGGCGAACCGGGGGAACUGAAACAUCUAAGUACCCCGAGGAAAAGAAAUCAACCGAGAUUCCCCCAGUAGCGGCGAGCGAACGGGGAG